rnacentral:misc_RNA from 1 species
GAUGAAGAACGCAGCGAAAUGCGAUAGGUAGUGUGAAUUGCAGAUGUAACGUGAAUCAUCGAAUCUUUGAACGCAAAUUGCACUCUCUGGUAUUCCGGGGAGUAUGCCUGUUUGAGGGUCGCCAAAUCAACAUCGAAAUUCAUUUGCUUUUGUAAAUGUUUAUCGGAUUUGAGCCGUCUUUUAUUUUUUUAAUUAAAGUGGCUUAAAAUGUAUUUUUUUGGUAUCGAAAAACGUUAUUUUACGAUCAAAUUGAUUAAAAAAACAAACGUUUCGAAUGCCGUCUUUUAAUGUAAUACGCUUGACUGUGGUGUUAAUCAUAGUUUCAUUCGUAUACGAUUUUUUAAUUUUUGACCUCAAAUCAGGUAAGAACACCCGCUGAACUUAAGCAUAUCAAUAAGCGGAGGA